GCCGGGCGCAUUGGCGUGUGGCUGUAGUCCCAGCUACUCGGGAGGCUGAGGUGGGAGGAUCGCUUGAGCCCAGGAAUUCUGGGCUGCAGUGCGCUAUGCCGAUCGGGUGUCCGCACCAAGUUCAGCAACAAUAUGGUGACCUCCCGGGAAUGGGGCACCACCAGGUUGCCUAAGGAGGAGUGAACCGACCCAGGUCAGAAAUGGAGCAGGUCAAAACUCCCGUGCUGAUCAGUAGUGGGAUCGUGCCUGUGAAUAGUCACUGAACUCCAGCCUGGGCAACAUAGCGAGACCCCCAUCUCU
rnacentral:SRP_RNA from 1 species